UUAUUGCAAUAUUCAAAUUGCAAUAUCAAUGAAUUACAAAUACAAAAAUUCAUUUAAGUGAAAAAGAAUACUAUGCAAUAAUCUACUAAAAAAAAUGGAUAUUCUCAAAUAAUACUAAGAAAAUAGUAUUGAUUUCUAUAUUAUUUUAAUAUGUGCGCCUUUGUUUAGAGGAUUCUAUGUCUAAUUAUUCAAAAGUCUAAUUAUUCAAUAAAUUAGAUUGAUUGAUACGAGUGGAUUUCCUAUUACGAUGGAUGGAAGAAAGAAUGGAUAGUCCAAUAGCGGCUUCAGCAGCCGCAAGGGCUAUAACAAAAAUUGCGAAAAUAUCUCCUUUUAAUUGGCGACUAUCAAAUAGAUCAGAAAAUGUUACGAGAUUUAGAUUAAUUGAAUUCAGUAUAAGUUCAAGACAUAUUAGAGCUCUAACCAUGUUUCGGCUUGUGAUCAAUCCAUAGAUACCAAUCGAAAAUAAAUAGACACUCGUAUCAAUCAAUCUAAUUUAUUGAAUAAUUAGACUUUUGAAUAAUUAGACAUAAAAUCCUCUAAACAAAGGCGCACAUAUUAAAAUAAUAUAGAAAUUAAUACUAUUUUCUUAGUAUUAUUUGAGAAUAUCCAUUUUUUUUAGUAGAUUAUUGCAUAGUAUUCUUUUUCACUUAAAUGAAUUUUUGUAUUUGUAAUUCAUUGAUAUUGCAAUUUGAAUAUUGCAAUAAUUUAUAUUGAAAAGACGAUAGCCAAUUUAUUGGCUAAUUCGAAUUCGUCUGUACAAUUCGUAAAAUUCUUUCUUAUUUCUUAUUGUUGAAAUCCAAAAUUAAAGUCUCUUGGCUCUCUUCACGCUUUCUCACAAACAGAUUAAAAAAUAGAUUUUUAUUUUUGAAGUUUGGAUAAACCAUUGCUUCGUCUGGUGUCUACAAUACAUAUAACUCAUUAUAGUACUAAUUUCAUUUUUACCAGAUCGAAAAAUUUUAUGUUGAAAAGAAAAAUUUAUAGAUCCAAUGUCACAUUCCGUAAAAAUUUNNN
rnacentral:lncRNA from 1 species